rnacentral:rRNA from 1 species
AUUGAACGCUGGCGGAAUGCUUUACACAUGCAAGUCGAGCGGCAGCGCGGGGCAACCUGGCGGCGAGCGGCGAACGGGUGAGUAAUGCAUCGGAACAUGUCCAGUCGUGGGGGAUAGCCCGCCGAAAGGCGGAUUAAUACCGCAUACGCCCGGGAGGGGAAAGCGGGGGACCUGCAAGGGCCUCGCGCGAUUGGGUUGGCCGAUGUCCGAUUAGCUAGUUGGUGGGGUAAAGGCCCACCAAGGCGAUGAUCGGUAGCUGGUCUGAGAGGAUGAUCAGCCACACUGGGACUGAGACACGGCCCAGACUCCUACGGGAGGCAGCAGUGGGGAAUUUUGGACAAUGGGGGCAACCCUGAUCCAGCCAUUCCGCGUGAGUGAAGAAGGCCUUCGGGUUGUAAAGCUCUUUUGUCCGGAGCGAAACGGUUGUGGUGAAUAUCCACGACUACUGACGGUACUGGAAGAAUAAGCACCGGCUAACUACGUGCCAGCAGCCGCGGUAACAC